rnacentral:lncRNA from 1 species
AUAAAUUUUUGUUUGUUUGCUUUUCAUUUUUCAACUUGGUAAAAAGUCUGUAAUGUUAAUUGGGCCAUUUGUCAAUUGUCAGCAUGUUAGUUUUUUCAAAUUUAAAUUCUGUUCCCAGCAUUCAUUUUUCAUAUCAUUUAAUAUCACAGAGUGCACCCUUUUAAACUGUGUGCCCUACAUACAAAAUCAUCUCGCAUAAAUAAUACCUGAAACCUGGAGUAACGUUAAGUUCUUUGACUAAUAGGAUUGAGUCCUGUGAAAAUAAUAUGCAGGCCAAUGAAAUGUUUGUUUUGGCCAAUCUUGAACCAAAUAAAGAACUUUUUAGAGUACGAACGUUGCCCAUCUCAUCAGCAGUGUAAAUUGAUAAUAACUUUUAAAAUUAUAUGUUUUUUGGCCUAAAUUUUAUUGGAUUAAGUGGCAUUUAAGAAAAAAUAUGUUUUCUGUAGCCUUUUUACACUAUUUCACAACUGAUAACAGAUUUUAAAUUAUCAAGUGACCCAAAGAAAAAGCAUUACAACUCUGAAGGACUCAACAGCAAUUUGGUGAAAGGUUGUUUGAAGUCUCUGAGGCUGCUAAAGGCCAGCGCACGGAAGUUUAUUUCCCAUUUUUACUGACUAGUUUUAUCCAGACCAAUGGUCCUUUCAUUUCACGGUAUUUUCUCCACCCGGUGCUCUAUGUCCUCGCCUCUCAGCGCAGUCGCCAUGGCGGUCGACAGCAGAGCUACAGUGGCCGCCGAGAUCCUACGUGGCUCGUGCCUCCGGCAGAGCUGCGUUCCCAGCUGCUGCGAUGGCGUCAGGCCGCUUUCCACCUCCUCCCUCGUCUCAGUGAGCUACACAGGGGACAGGCUCCCGGACCGGAGUGGCUAUUUCUCUCCUAAGAUCCAUCCUUGUGAAGCCUUCAAACUGAGGUGUCCUGGUCAUAAGAGACGACAGUUGAGAGCAACAGCCCCCAGAAGCUUCACAGAGAUUCCAGUGGUGGAACUAAAGCACAAUGGGAACAUGUGCCACACCGUCCUGAGGACUCCCUGCCUCAAAUGACUUUAACCAGAACUAACAAUCUGGAGAAGCUGUCUGUACUUUUAAGGCCAGAGAACGGCAGAGCUGCUACGACUCGGUUCUUGGCAGAGGUCAAGUCCUGCAAGGGGUUCAGAGACUCCCAGCACUUGCAGGAGGGGAGCGGCUGCAGCUCUGGGCCACCUCAGCACCCAGGGGUGCAGAAGAACACUCAAGAUGUCACUAACCGGUUUGGAAAAGAUUUCUGAAUUCUGAGUAUGGACUCUUGAACGAGAGAAAAGACAGUGAAAUGAGAAGAAGAAAAGAGUAAUUUUGCAGAAAAGAGUGAACUAAAAGGGAUAUUGCAAAGUGACGUGACAUAAAAGAAAAAGCCUUAAACCUGGUAGAAAAAUCAUAUUAUGCACUUACUAUAGUCCAUGCAUUCUAUUAGGUCAUUUUAUAUCCAUUCACACAACAACUCUAUUUAUUCAGCUUUUAUUAUUCCCUAUUUGAAGAAAAGCAAACCAAAGUUUACUUAGUUGGCUUAAGUAACUUGCCCAAAAUCAUACAGCUAGUAAGUAUCAAAAGUGGAACUAAUAUCAGGUAUAUCCUAUUCCAGAAUCUUUCCAAUAUGACCAGAAAUCAGAAGACAUGAUUAGUGGUAUUGAUUCUAUCGUUAAAUUGUCUUGAUUUAGACAAGUCAAUUUGCCAUUCUGGAACUCAGUUUCCUUAUCUGUAAAAUUAUGUUCCCAAGGGUCUAGUUCUAAUCAUGAUAGAAAAGUCACUCAUACUUUGGCUCUUUUUUGAGCCGAAAGAUCAGUGGAGAGAAAAAGGGGAAACGUGGAAAGACCGAAGUAGUAGGAAAAAUGGGUGUAGAAGGACCCAGUGUAAAAGAUUAAAUGUUAGAAGGGAAUUGGGAGUCCUAGGUUGCAAGAAGGGGUGUGUGUGUGUGUGUGUGUGUGUGUGUGUGUGUGUGUAUGUAUGUGAUCUACUGAAGCAUUACCUAUAAAUACUGGGAAACUAGUGAAACAGAAGUGUUUGGCCUGAAUCCCAGAAGAAAGAGCUGGUUGUCAUACCCUCUACACACACAC